CCAUAACAUCUUUCUUAUUCUUGUGCAUUUCUCUUCUUGCAGCAAUGAUGAAGAAAGCCUCGUCUUCUUUGAGCUUCUGAAGUUAUUGGGAUUCCCACAGGCCAAGGCUACUGAGACUUCAACUGACCCAGGAGACAAUGGUAGAUCUCAUGCCAUGGUGCAUUUUAAUGGUUGAAGCUCUAAGUUAGGCAGUUUCAGUUUCAAGGCAUUGCCAUGGAGAUGACAAGAUGAUUUAGAGCACUCAAUAGAUUUGAUAAUUUAUAAGGUUGUAGAUUUUGAGUUUUUGAUAGCUACUCACAUAUCAGGAAACCCUUUCUGUCUGCUUACUUCCACCUAUCAAUGCCAAACCAUGAUCCUUCUAGAGUUCAGAUGUAAUUUGAACCUUUGAAAUGGCAGGUUCACAUAUUAAACUCAGUGCCCCAUUCUGGGCGUCAACGUCAUACCCAUAUAAAAAUAUUUGCCCCUUCUCUUCGAGGUUGUCUUCCAGCCAUGGGGCAAACACUGACAUGUGGGGCAGCUAACACUAAUUUUUUUUCCCUUAAUCUGCAAAGAGAAUGGGAUUGAAGGGCAUUAACAGAAACAUUAAUGGUAAAUUUGAACAUAAUUGUAGUACUUAUCGAAGAGCCUUCAACGUGAAAUAACAGUUGGGUAAGUUGCAGUAACCAAGAGUUCUUCUCCACUCAAUUUGGCCAAACAAGGCAGUCAACACAACAGUCGAAUACUAAAUGGAAAUGGCGGCCCAUUGAUGAAAAUGGACUGUAGAUUUCAGUCACUUUCUGCACCGAUUUAUAGUGAGAACCACAGAACAGAAAGUGGUAUCCUGGUUUAAUCAAAUGUGUUGCUAACAAUUCAUUUAAACCCAUCUACGAUAAACCAUCGAGCCUGUUGCAGUGUAAAGCUGAACCUUUCUUUUUGCCACUUCGGCC
rnacentral:misc_RNA from 1 species